rnacentral:misc_RNA from 1 species
UCUCCGUAGGUGAACCUGCGGAGGGAUCAUUAACACGUGCCACCAUACACGUAUACCAAACACGCUGUGAACGUUAACCAAAAACAUACCUCCCUUGGUAGAAGUGAUCGAGUGAUACUCAUCUGGGUGGAGUAGAGAAUUCUUGCAAUCAAUUGCAAGAAUUCUUUUACUAUGACUCGCCCUAGGAAUCCUUUGAGAUUCCAAUCCGCUAUCAAGUGUAUGUGCCGCCACCUGGCAGUCUGCGAUCUUGCUGAUUUUUUUAGCAUUGAAAGCAGCGUUCUGCCGAAUUGUAUUAACCCAUUUUUUAAACCCCUUUAACAACAUACUAACAACUGAACCAUAUGCAUUUUUUUCAUUCGGAGGAAAAGGGAAGGUUGCAAAACCCACCUUGACCAACCCGACAUUGAAAAAAAAACAUAUUGAUAUUACGUCAUGCUGAACAACUCUUAGCAAUGGAUAUCUUGGUUCUC